rnacentral:rRNA from 1 species
GACGAACGCUGGCGGCGUGCCUAAUACAUGCAAGUAGAACGCUGAAGAGAGGAUCUUGCUCUUCUUGGAUGAGUUGCGAACGGGUGAGUAACGCGUAGGUAACCUGCCUUGUAGCGUGGGAUAACUAUUGGAAACGAUAGCUAAUACCGCAUAACAAUGGAUGACACAUGUCAUUUAUUUGAAAGGGGCAAUUGCUCCACUACAAGAUGGACCUGCGUUGUAUUAGCUAGUAGGUGAGGUAAUGGCUCACCUAUGCGACGAUACAUAGCCGACCUGAGAGGGUGAUCGGCCACAAUGGGACUGAGACACGGCCCAGACUCCUACGGGAGGCAGCAGUAGGGAAUCUUCGGCAAUGGGGGCAACCCUGACCGAGCAACGCCGCGUGAGUGAAGAAGGUUUUCGGAUCGUAAAGCUCUGUUGUAAGUCAAGAACGGGUGUGAGAGUGGAAAGUUCACACUGUGACGGUAGCUUAACAGAAAGGGACGGCUAACUACGUG